UUCGGGUCGUAAAGUUCUGUUGUCAGGGAAGAACAAGUGCCGCAGGCAAUGGCGGCACCUUGACGGUACCUUGCGAGAAAGCCACGGCUAACUACGUGCCAGCAGCCGCGGUAAUACGUAGGUGGCAAGCGUUGUCCGGAAUUAUUGGGCGUAAAGCGCGCGCAGGCGGCCUCUUAAGUCUGAUGUGAAAGCCCCCGGCUCAACCGGGGAGGGCCAUUGGAAACUGGGAGGCUUGAGUAUAGGAGAGAAGAGUGGAAUUCCACGUGUAGCGGUGAAAUGCGUAGAGAUGUGGAGGAACACCAGUGGCGAAGGCGACUCUUUGGCCUAUAACUGACGCUGAGGCGCGAAAGCGUGGGGAGCAAACAGGAUUAGAUACCCUGGUAGUCCACGCCGUAAACGAUGAGUGCUAGGUGUUGGAGGGUUUCCGCCCUUCAGUGCUGAAGCUAACGCAUUAAGCACUCCGCCUGGGGAGUACGGUCGCAAGGCUGAAACUCAA
rnacentral:rRNA from 1 species